AACUGAUACUACCUGCGGGAACCUGCGGAAGGAUCAUUACUGAAGUGAUUUGGGGAUGUUGCUAGCCCUCUCUCAAGGGGGGGCACUGUGCACUCCUCGAAACAAUUCACAAUUUCCAUCACACCCCUUGUGCACACCUUGUAGGCACCCAAACCCACCUCCGGGUGGUGGGGUCCUAUGUAUUCCUUCAUCUCACACUCUGUUGAAUGGUGCCAUGGGACGCAUCUAAAGGAUUAUUUG
rnacentral:misc_RNA from 1 species